GAGGUUCUGUGAACCCACUGGCACUUUAACAAGAACAUUAGGCUGCUUUGCUUAGAACUGCUUGUGGAAGAACAGGAGAGGGAGAGAGAGGUCAUUUAGGCAGCCAUGUGGUCAUUCAAGUGCUAGCCCACAAUGGCUGUAAUGAGGCCGGUGGGAGGCUGGCAGCACUUGAUGAGGGAUUAGAUGUGGGGUGGAGAGAAAACAAGUGAAGGAGGACUGUGAACGUGGGGCAUCCCGUCAGACGUCCAAAGACAGAGGAUGGUGGCCGAGAAGUUUUCCCUGGGAAGACUUUGGCAUUUUACAAGUGGCAACGAACAUCACAAGAUUUGUAUGUACGCAGUGGUCAAGAUGGCUGUUUCUUUGGAACACUUUUGCACAGGCAACAACUUGAAACAGAAUGGCUUUGGAAAAUAUUGGACAGUCUAGAAAAGAAAAUAAACAACCAUGUUCAACCAACUGCUCUCGUCUUUGAAACAACUGUCUUGUCCAUUUGGUGUCUCUCACUAAAGCAAUCUUCAAAAUAGUCAACAUGUGGAAGCAACCCGAGUGUCCACCAAUGGAUGAAUGAGAAACAAGAUGUGAGAUACAUCCCAUGGAAUAGUAUUCAGCCUUACAAUGGAGAAUAUUCUGACCCAGGCUACAACAAGGAUGGACCUGGUA